GUGCCAGCCGCCGCGGUAAUUCUAGCUCCAAUAGCGUAUAUUAAAGUUGUUGUGGUUAAAAAGCUCGUAGUUGAACCUUGGGCCUGGCUGGCCGGUCCGCCUCACCGCGUGCACUGGUCCGGCCGGGCCUUUCCCUCUGUGGAACCCCAUACCCUUCACUGGGCGUGGCGGGGAAACAGGACAUUUACUUUGAAAAAAUUAGAGUGCUCCAGGCAGGCCUAUGCUCGAAUACAUUAGCAUGGAAUAAUAAAAUAGGACGCGCGGUUCUAUUUUGUUGGUUUAUAGGACCGCCGUAAUGAUUAAUAGGGACAGUCGGGGGCAUCAGUAUUCAACUGUCAGAGGUGAAAUUCUUGGAUCAGUUGAAGACUAACUACUGCGAAAGCAUUUGCCAAGGAUGUUUUCAUUAAUCAGGAACGAAAGUUAGGGGAUCGAAGACGAUCAGAUACCGUCGUAGUCUUAACCAUAAACUAUGCCGACUAGGGAUCGGACGGUGUUAUUCAUGACCCGUUCGGCACCUUACGAGAAAUCAAAGUGCUUGGGCUCCAGGGGGAGUAUGGUCGCAAGGCUGAAACUUAAAGAAAUUGACGGAAGGGCACCACCAGGGGUGGAGCCUGCGGCUUAAUUUGACUCAACACGGGGAAACUCACCAGGUCCAGACGCAAUAAGGAUUGACAGAUUGAGAGCUCUUUCUUGAUUUUGUGGGUGGUGGUGCAUGGCCCGUUCUUAGUUGGUGGGGUGACUUGUCUGCUUAAUUGCGAUAACGAACGAGACCUUAACCUGCUAAAUAGCCCCGCAUUGCUCCGGCAGUGCGCUGGCUUCUUAGAGGGACUU
rnacentral:rRNA from 1 species